CUGGCGGCGCGCUUAACACAUGCAAGUCGAACGAGAAAGCCGGGGCAACCUGGUGAGUAAAGUGGCGUACGGGUGAGUAACACGUGGGUAAUCUACCUUCUGGUGGGGGAUAACCCUGGGAAACCGGGGCUAAUACCGCAUAACCCCGCAAGGGAAAAGCAGCAAUGCGCUGGAAGAGGAGCCCGCGGCCGAUUAGCUAGUUGGUAGGGUAAUGGCCUACCAAGGCUGUGAUCGGUAGCCGGCCUGAGAGGGCACACGGCCACACUGGCACUGAAACACGGGCCAGACUCCUACGGGAGGCAGCAGUGGGGAAUCUUGCACAAUGGGGGAAACCCUGAUGCAGCGACGCCGCGUGAGCGAUGAAGCCCUUCGGGGUGUAAAGCUCUUUCGGCAGGAACGAUAAUGACGGUACCUGCAGAAGAAGCUGCGGCUAACUACGUGCCAGCAGCCGCGGUAAUACGUAGGGGGCAAGCGUUGUCCGGAAUUAUUGGGCGUAAAGGGCGCGUAGGCGGAUAGUUAAGUCCGGUGUGAAAGAUCAGGGCUCAACCCUGAGAGUGCAUCGGAAACUGGUUAUCUUGAGGACAGGAGAGGAAAGUGGAAUUCCACGUGUAGCGGUGAAAUGCGUAGAUAUGUGGAGGAACACCAGUGGCGAAGGCGACUUUCUGGACUGUAACUGACGCUGAGGCGCGAAAGCGUGGGGAGC
rnacentral:rRNA from 1 species